GUUUCACGUUUCAUAUCUGUCUGUGCUUUUAAGAUGGAGUUGGAUCACAGCUUAACGGAGAGUGCCAGAGGAACUUCAGGUAGACACUGCAGUACAUCCAAUAUCAAGCACACAAAGGACGAUUACUGAAGCGUUUUUGAUGAAGUCACA